CACGCCUAACACAUGCAAGUCGAACGAAGUAGCAAUACUUAGUGGCAGACGGGUGAGUAACAUGUAGGUAUCUGCCCUUUGGCCUGGAAUAACACGAGGAAACUUGUGCUAAUACCGGAUAAGUCUUUACGGAGAAAGCUUUAUGCACCAUUGGAUGAGCCUGCACUUGAUUAGUUUGUUGGUGGGGUAAUGGCCUACCAAGACUGUGAUCAAUAGCUGAUUUGAGAGGAUGAUCAGCCACAUUGGGACUGAGACACGGCCCAAACUCCUACGGGAGGCAGCAGUGGGGAAUCUUGCACAAUGGAGGAAACUCUGAUGCAGCGAUGCCGCGUGAGUGAAGAAGGCCCUUGGGUUGUAAAGCUCUUUCGUCGGGGAAGAAAAUGACUGUACCCGAAUAAGAAGGUCCGGCUAACUUCGUGCCAGCAGCCGCGGUAAUACGAAGGGACCUAGCGUAGUUCGGAAUUACUGGGCUUAAAGAGUUCGUAGGUGGUUGAAAAAGUUAGUGGUGAAAUCCCAGAGCUUAACUCUGGAACUGCCAUUAAAACUUUUCAGCUAGAGUAUGAUAGAGGAAAGCAGAAUUUCUAGUGUAGAGGUGAAAUUCGUAGAUAUUAGAAAGAAUACCAAUUGCGAAGGCAGCUUUCUGGAUCAUUACUGACACUGAGGAACGAAAGCAUGGGUAGCGAAGAGGAUUAGAUACCCUCGUAGUCCAUGCCGUAAACGAUGUGUGUUAGACGUUGGAAAUUUAUUUUCAGUGUCGCAGGGAAACCGAUAAACACACCGCCUGGGGAGUACGA
rnacentral:rRNA from 1 species